rnacentral:rRNA from 1 species
UACCAGCACCCCGAGUGGUCGGGACGAUUAUUGGGCCUAAAGCAUCCGUAGCCGGUUCUGCAAGUCCCCCGUUAAAUCCAGCUGCUCAACAGGUGGGCCGCGGAGGAUACUCCAGAGCUAGGAGGCAGGAGAGGCAAGCGGUACUCAGUGGGUAGGGGUAAAAUCCGUUGAUCCAUUGAAGACCACCAGUGGCGAAGGCGGCUUGCCAGAAUGCGCUCGACGGUGAGGGAUGAAAGCUGGGGGAGCAAACCGG